rnacentral:rRNA from 1 species
UACAGAGGGUGCGAGCGUUAAUCGGAAUUACUGGGCGUAAAGGGCUCGUAGGCGGCCAACUAAGUCGGAUGUGAAAUCCCCAAGCUUAACUUGGGAACUGCAUCCGAUACUGGAUGGCUUGAAUCCGGGAGAGGGAUGCAGAAUUCCAGGUGUAGCGGUGAAAUGCGUAGAUAUCUGGAGGAAUACCGGUGGCGAAGGCGGCAUCCUGGACCGGCAUUGACGCUGAGGAGCGAAAGCUAGGGGAGCAAACGGG